UAGAGUUAAAUUAGAAAGGCGGUUUCCAAGAGAAAUAACAGUUUUUGUGUCAUUUUGAAAUAUGAGCAAUUCAUUAAAUAUCUUUUAAUAAAAUUAAAUAAAAUACAUACAGAUUACGUGUUUAACAUACAAAGUUGUCUUGUUUGUAGCAAUGUUUAUCUUUUACCUUGGUUUUUCGUUUUGCGCUUUAAUCAAGUCAUUACAUUUGAUGUUACAAAGUUAAUCAAAUUUAAAGGAUUAGAUCUUAUCGUGAUAAUAUAUAAGUAGAUGUUACUGCCAUAAAAAUGCCACACGUCCAUUUUCAAUAAAAAAUAUAUGUAAUAGUUUCCUGGAAAAAUCUAUUUUCAUUUUGUAACUUCAAAAAGCUGUAACUUUUUUAUGUGCACAUUUCUACUAAGUAAUGUCUUUUGACACUUGGCAGACAUUCGUGGCCUAAGAUGGUUGCUUAGGGUUUCGUUUAGGGUUUCACCAUGUAACCAGAGGUAUCUUCUAACAUCGGCGUUAAGCCUACUUAAUUUCAACAAACUAUAAUGUAGACUGAAUUUUAAUUAUAACCAUUGUUUGGUUCUGGGGCUAGUUGGCAAG